rfam:Gorilla gorilla gorilla genomic chromosome, chr19, whole genome shotgun sequence
UCUCAGUCUGUGGUACUCAGCCUUGAGGGCACUUUCUGGUGCCAGAAUGAAAGUGCUGUCAUAGUUGAGGUCCAAUGACUGAGG